rnacentral:lncRNA from 1 species
CGGACCAGGGAUAUUCCCUAGUAGACCGGGAUCACAUGGAUAUUCCCCUAGUAGGACCAGGAUUAUUCCCUAGUAGACCGGGAUCCACAAGGGAUAUUCCCCAAGUAACCAGGUCCACAGGGAUAUUCCUCAAGUAUAACCGGGAUCCACAGGGAUAUUCCCCUAGAUAGACCAGGAUCCACAGGGAUAUUCCUCAAGUAGACCGGGAUCCACAGGGAUAUUCCCCUAGUAGACCGGGAUCCACAGGGUAUUCACCUAGUAGACCGGGAUCCACAGGGAUAUUCACCUAGUAAGACCGGGAUCCACAGGAUAUUCCCUAGUAGACCGGGAUCCACAGGGAUAUAUUCCCCUAGUAGACCAGGAUAUUCCCCUAGUAGACCGGGAUCCACAGGGAUAUUCCCCUAGUAGAACAGGAUCCACAGGGAUAUUCCCCUAGUAGAACAGAUCCACAGGAUAUCCCCUAGAAAAUCUCUGGUUAAAAGUAAUGUAUAUAGGGAAUAGACUGGCAUUUCAGAACAGCCAACAACAUCACACACCAGUUGGUGUAUCCUGAAGAGACACGUCUGUCCGGUUUGGUCAGGUGUCUUCAACGUCCUCAGAACAACGGAUAGAACGCAGUCUAGGGGUUUAGUCUGAUAACCAAGAGGCCAGUCGGCACGGCCCGUAUACUGUUGUUGCAUGCUCAACUGAAGGUUCAGAACCCAUGAAUGACUUACAUUAAAUAGUUGUGUUUUUUCCCGCACUUAAAUUAAACUAUACACACGUUGACUGUCCGCAGCAACAAACACUAUCUUUUUAAUAGCACAUAAUGAGGAGUGAAAUGGGGGCAAAAUGAGUCUAAUUCAAUAACAAAAUGAACAAAAUAAUGAAAACAAGCAAUUGAAGUUGACUCCAGCUACAACGACGUUCUCCUUCCGAUGAUCCGUUCAGACCAGUCAUCACAUGGCGUAUUCUGCGGUCCCAUUCUCUUGCUAUUCUGCUGUAUCGUAGAAGGGAAAACAAACAAAAACAUAGAGGCAGUUCCCAAAUGGCACCCUAUCGGCUGCACUACUUUUCACCCAAAGCCGUACCAGGGUUACAUCACCAUGUUUCCUGGUCUGGGAACGUCACAACGGAUCCUGGUCUGCCAGGGGAAACGUCCCCUGCCGGAUCCUGGUCUGCCAGGGGAAAUCCCGGCGGAUCCUGGUCUGCCAGGGGAACGUCCAGCGGAUCCUGGUCUGCCAGGGAACGUCACUACGGUCCUGGUCGCCGAGGAAUGUCCCUACGGAUCCUGGUCUGCCAGGGGUACAUCACCAUGUUUCCUGGUCUGCCAGGGGUACAUCACCAUGUUUCCUGGUCUGCCAGGGGUACAUCACCAUGUUUCCUGGUCUGCCCUGGGGUACAUCCACCUGUUCCCUGGUCGGGGGGAUUCAUCACCAUGAUUUCCUGGUCUGCCAGGGGGUACAU